rnacentral:lncRNA from 1 species
CUCUUUGCUUCCCACUUAGUAGCUCUCAGCUACUGCUCCGGGGGUAUGCCUGUCUGCCUGCUGACAUGCUCUCUGCCAAUGGGUCAUGGACGCCCCUUGUGAAGGCUGUACCCACCGAAAGUUGCUGUUGAUGACUUCUCCUCUUGAAUCCGAGUGGACCUGAGACUCACUUGUAACCAGCACAAUGCUCUGUGGAACUAUUGCUGCAUAACCUUGAGGAAGUCAGAGAAAAGAAACUCAGGUUUGGGAUAGCCUUGAUCUACCAUGUGAUGAAUUUGAUUCCCCUGGUAUGGCCAUGUUAUCCUGAGGAUGCCCCAGCCACACACAGAAGCUACUGUGGACGCUUGGUUCAGCCAUCUUAGCUGCUAGUCGGCAUCAACAAUGGAUGGAAGAAUUCAAAUGACAUGAUGGCCAUUCCCAGCUGCCGAGCCACCCAGUCCAUAGGUCUUCUUUGCACAUGGAGUGAAUUCACAGAGCAGAGAGAAGGCAGUGUCCACAGAGCCCAUUA